AACGAACGCUGGCGGCGUGCCUAACACAUGCAAGUCGAACGAGAAAGGGGCUUCGGCUCCGAGUAAAGUGGCGCACGGGUGAGUAACACGUGGGUAACCUGCCUCUAAGAUUGGGAUAACUCGUCGAAAGAUGAGCUAAUACCGAAUAAGACCACAGUUCCCGCGGGAACAGGGGUCAAAGGUAGCCUCUGCUUGCAAGCUAUCACUUAGAGAUGGGCCUGCGCACCAUUAGCUAGUUGGUAGGGUAACGGCCUACCAAGGCAAAGAUGGUUAGCUGGUCUGAGAGGAUGAUCAGCCGCACUGGAACUGAGACACGGUCCAGACUCCUACGGGAGGCAGCAGUGGGGAAUAUUGCGCAAUGGGCGAAAGCUUGACGCAGCAACGCCGCGUGAGUGAUGAAGGCCUUCGGGUCGCAAAGCUCUGUCGGGAGGAACGAAUGCUCCUGAGGUUAACAGCCUCGGGAGGUGACGGUACCUUCAAAGGAAGCACCGGCUAACUCUGUG
rnacentral:rRNA from 1 species